CACGUAUGGGGCAAGCGUUGUCCGGAAUCAUUGGGCGUAAAGAGCUCGUAGGCGGCUCAGUAAGUCGGGUGUGAAACCUCCAGGCUCAACCUGGAGACGCCACCCGAUACUGCUGUGGCUAGAGUCCAGUAGGGGAGUGUGGAAUUCCCGGUGUAGCGGUGAAAUGCGCAGAUAUCGGGAGGAACACCAGCGGCGAAGGCGGCACUCUGGGCUGGUACUGACGCUGAGGAGCGAAAGCGUGGGUAGCAAACAGG
rnacentral:rRNA from 1 species